CAAAAGUUAAUCAUAAGUCUUCGUGGGAACGAUACUCUACUCACUACUAUAUUACUUGACGACCACGUAUACUUGCGUUAGUGUGUUUGAUCGCAACAAGAGGACAGUUGGAAACUGAUUUCAGAUUGAAUGUGUCAAAAUCCAAGUUAAAAAGAGCUAAGACAAUUGCUCUUACUACUAUGGACAUGAACUUAUGAAGUCAAAUCCAGGGUCUGAUGUUGUAAUUAGUAUUUUCAAAGAUGCACUUGAAAUGGGUAUAAGGAGGUUCCUAAGAAUGUAUAUUUGGUUCUAUGUUAUGAAGCAAGGAUGAAAAGGUGGUUUAAGACCACUAAUUGGGUUAGGUGGGACUUUCUUGAAGGGAAAGUGUAAGGGUCAACUAUUGGUGGCUAUGGGACAAGACUCUAUGAACCAUUUUUAUCCACUAGCUUGGGCAGUGCUGGACAAAGAAACUAGCAGGACUUGGAACUGGUUUCUUCAGUUGUUGAAGGCUUCUUUGGACUUGAAUAAUGGGCAGGGUGUGACAUUCAUUUCUGAUAUGCAAAAGGGACUGCUAGAUGCUGUACAAACUGUACUUCCAAAUGCCAACCAUAGGUACUGUAUGAGACAUAUUGAAGCUAAUUGAACUAAGAGGGGGAGGAGUGACCAAGAAAAAAAAGUAAUGCGGUGGUGUUCUUGGAGUACUUAUGAGGAGGAAUUCAAAGAUAUGUUGAGGCUUUUAGGAUCAGAGGAUGUAGAGUCAGCUAAGGAUCUACUUAAAUAUCCUCGGGUGGCUUGGUGUAGGGCAUAUUUUGAUACUUAGUGCAAGAAUCUAAUGGUUGAUAAUAAUUUCACUGAGUCCUUCAAUAAUUGGAUACUAUAAGCUAGGCAGAAACCAAUAAUCAAAAUGUUGGAGGAUAUAAGGGUGAAAGUUAUGAAUAUGUUGGGGAACAAUGAAAAUAAAGUAAGGACUUGGAUUUCUAAUUUCAGUCCACAAUGUAUGAGGCUCUAUAAUGAUUACAGAGUAAUAGCAAACAGUUGUGUAGUUGAAUUCAAUUGAGAUUUUGAGGAGAAUAGGCAUACUGUGAAUCUGCAACAGAAGAGGUGUACAUGUAGGUUAUGGGACUUGGGUGGGAUCCCAUGCCCUCAUGCCAUCAGGGCAAUUAUGCAUAAGAGAGGAAAUCCCAGAGAUGAGAUUCACUGGUAGCAUUCUAAGGAGGCUUAUACGCUGACAUAUAAGCAUAAAUUACAGCCUGUUAGGGGUCCUCAAUUCUGGAAAGUGGAACCUGAACAUGCCAUGAAGCCACCAGAUAUGGUUAAGCUUGUUGGUAGACCUAAGACAGAGAAAUAGGGAACCUGAUGCAGCAUUAAAGAGGAAGGGUGAAUGGAGCUUCUCAAGAAGGGGACAUUAAUAGCAUGCAGCAAGUGUGGUGAAUACAACCAUAAUGCAAGGGGUUGUUGUAAGGUAUUUUUUUUUUAAUUUUAGUCUUUUGAAGUAUAUACUUAGCUUGUAAUUUACUUGGUUUAUAGGACAAUGUUGUUGGACAAAGGUCAAAAUCAAAUAGCAACCAAACUAGACAUAGUUCAACACCUGUUCCUGAUGCAUCUGAGUUAGAGGCUGCAACACAAUAAUCUGAGCAGUACGAAUUUGAAACACAAGCUACACAACGAUCCACAGCCUAUGGUCCUGAGGUGAGGAAUGAGGAAGAUCCAGCAUUGAGGCCAAAGGUUAUUUCUGAGACACAAACAAGGCUUUUACCUCGGAUGACUCAACGCACUGCAACUGGGACUAGGAGAAUCCCUUUUACAGGAGAUAGUACUGGGGUAGCAACACCAAAAAACCUACCAUUUUCACCAACCAAGAGUACAUGGAAGGGAAAGGCAUCAAUGACUACAAGCCAACUGGAAGGCGGAGAAGCAAGGAAGAAAAGGGCGAAGAUGACGACUAAAAAAGGGGUGCAUCUUGCUGAUCCAUAAGUUUUACUUUAGGUUGUUAGGACUCUUUAAGUGUUUAUGAAAUUUAAUCAGAGGUGGUUAUGGGAUUCGGAUUUGAGAUAAUAUUUUUGGUCUGUAAUGACAACUUUGUGUGUUUUGUUGCCAACCACAAGUUAGGUCUUUUGUGGCUGGUUAACCACCUUAUGGUUAAACUCUUUUUUGCUUGUCAUGCCACCUAAUGCGUUGAUUAUGAAUGACGUUGAUUUUCUAA